CCUACGGGAGGCAGCAGUGGGGAAUAUUGCACAAUGGGCGAAAGCCUGAUGCAGCGAUGCCGCGUGAGGGAUGAAGGCUUUCAGGGUUGUAAACCUCUUUCAGCGGGGAAGAAGCGCAAGUGACGGUACCUGCAGAAGAAGCGCCGGCUAACUACGUGCCAGCAGCCGCGGUAAUACGUAGGGCGCAGGCGUUGUCCGGAAUUAUUGGGCGUAAAGAGCUCGUAGGCGGUUUGUCGCGUCUGGUGUGAGAACUCGAGGCUCAACCUCGAGCUUGCAUCGGGUACGGGCAGACUAGAGUGCGGUAGGGGAGACUGGAAUUCCUGGUGUAGCGGUGGAAUGCGCAGAUAUCAGGAGGAACACCGAUGGCGAAGGUAGGUCUCUGGGCCCGCAACUGACGCUGAGGAGCGAAAGCAUGGGGAGCGAACAGGAUUAGAUACCCUCGGUAGUCCAUGCCGUAAACGUUGGGCACUAGGGUGUGGGGCUCAUUCCACGAGUCUCCGUGCCGCAGCAAACGCAUUAAGUGCCCCGCCUGGGGAGUACGGCCGCAAGGCUAAAACUUAAAGGAAUUGACGG
rnacentral:rRNA from 1 species